GGCUGCCACCGCCCCCGGGCUUCCUCCGUGCCAGGCGCUCCUGGCCACAGCGGCUGGGCUGACAGCAGCGUCCCCCGCCCACCCGAGGGCCUCGAGGCGGCUACACCGGCAGGAAUACCACUGACCCAGCGGUGAUGAUGGAACAAAAGUGGCGUCUCCGGGGCUCCCUUAUCUUGUCCCGGGGCACUUCCCCUGCCCAGUGGACAGGGUCAGAUAGGGACAGCGGGGCAAUUCCAGGCCUCAGGCGUGUGCCGGGGAAGGGGCUGACUUGAGGGUCAUGCCCGGUGCCCACCCAAUCGCGGGCCCUCCCUGCAGAGAAGCAGCCUGCCAGGCCCUGGCUUCCGCGGCCCUGCGUUUGCCAACCAACGUGGACGGGGCACCGGAUGUCCCCUCACACACACCUUUCCCCUAAAGAGGCCGGGCUGUGCCUCCGCCCUCGCCACCCCCGGCAAGCCCCCCUCCUCCGGCCCCUCGGUGGUGACGCCGUCCCGGACCGCGGCCUCUGGGGACCGGCCUCAAAAGUCAGGGGCAGCCCAGGCUCUCCGCGACCAUGUAUGGCUCAGGUUUUAUAUUUAGAGCCUGAGAAGGACAGCACGGGGCUGCCGAGAGGGAGCCCGAAGACCAGAGCGCGGCGGUACUGUCACGCCUCGCGCCCGGGGACGCCACAGCCCCCCAGCCCCCCACCGCGCCCACCUGACAGGACAGGAAUGGGGGAGGCACCCAGAGAAGCGCGGUCACAUGCCCACCGCCCCCCUGUUGGAAAGGGCAGGGCCGAGUGAGACUGCACUCCAGUCCGAGGGGGGCUGGGAGAGGCUGGCCGUCCAACCUGGCCUCGAUCUCAGGGCUGCGGGACCUGGCUGCCUGGCCUCAUCCAGGGCCCACCUGCUUAGGUCCUGGGUGGAGGAUGACUCCCUAGAAAUGUUCCAACUGCCCUUCAGGACGAGCUCCUGAAUACACGGAUGGACGGCGGCCAGACACCAGGACAGAACUCCGACCCACAAACUGCAGCCACAGCCCAGGAGGAAGCCCGCUGUCUCCACGGCAGACCUGCGGGAAGUCGGACCUCGCUCUCUGACGCACAACCACCCUGGGACAGUGUCCCACAUGGCCGGGGCUGGAUGACGGCUUCCACAGUUUCUGUUGCCACGUCCACCUGAGGACCAACCAGAAAGCCGAGCGCACUCCCCAAGCGAUCACGCGGGCUGUCCCACUUCCCCAGGCCCCAGCCCCACCCCCGGGUGCCCCUGAGCCCCCCUUUUUCCUACAACGAAGCUUUCUAUACAUAGAAAAUACUUUCACAUAUUAACA